AGCAGCCGCGGUAAUUCCAGCUCCAAUAGCGUAUAUUAAAGUUGUUGCAGUUAAAAAGCUCGUAGUUGAAUUUCGGGGUUAGUAGGUUGGUCAUGCCUCUGGUAUGUACUGGUCUCACUGAUUCCUCCUUCCUGAUGAGCCGUAAUGCCAUUAAUUUGGUGUUGCGGGGAAUUUGGACUGUUACUUUGAAAAAAUUAGAGUGUUUAAAGCAAGCUAACGCUUGAAUACAUUAGCAUGGAAUAAUGAAAUAGGACGUUCGAUCCUAUUUUGUUGGUUUCUAGGAUUGACGUAAUGAUUAAUAGGGAUAGUUGGGGGCAUUAGUAUUCAAUUGUCAGAGGUGAAAUUCUUGGAUUUAUUGAAGACUAAACUACUGCGAAAGCAUUUGCCAAGGAUGUUUUCAUUAUCAAGAACGAAAGUUAGG
rnacentral:rRNA from 1 species